CUACGGGCGGCAGCAGUGAGGAAUUUUGCGCAAUGGGGGAAACCCUGACGCAGCAACGCCGCGUGAGCGAAGAAGGCCCUCGGGUCGUAAAGCUCUGUCAAGUGGGAAAAAAAUCUUUUAAUCAAUAGUUAAAAGACUUGAUGGUACCACUGGAGGAAGCACCAGCUAACUCCGUGCCAGCAGCCGCGGUAAUACGGAGGGUGCAAGCGUUGUUCGGAACUACUGGGCGUAAAGAGCGUGUAGGCGGUUUGGCAAGUCAGAUGUGAAAGCCCCGGGCUUAACCUGGGAAGUGCAUUUGAAACUGCUUGACUAGAGUAUGGGAGAGGAGAUUGGAAUUCCUGGUGUAGAGGUGAAAUUCGUAGAUAUCAGGAGGAACACCCGUGGCGAAGGCGAUUCUCUGGACCAAUACUGACGCUGAGACGCGAAAGCGUGGGGAGCAAACAGGAUUAGAUACCCUCGUAGUC
rnacentral:rRNA from 1 species